CUCUAAAUAAUCUUAAGUAAAUCUAAAUAAAAUAUUAAUUGAAAUCUUAAUAAAUUUAAAUCAAAUUCAAGGUAAAAUCUUAAUUAAAUCCAUAUUGAAAUCCUAAUGAAUCUCAAUAAAUUCUUAGAUCAAAUUCUAAUGAAAUUCUAAUAAAAUCCUAAAUCCUAACCAAAUAUUAAUCAAAUUUUAAUCAAAUCAUAAACCCUAUAUUAAUACUAAUGAAAUCUUAAUCAUAUCCUAAUCAAAUUUUAAAUCCUAAUCAAAUCUUAAAUACCAGAUCAAUCCUAAUUAAAUACUAAUUAAAUCCUAAAUCAAUCCUAAUCAAAUCCUAAAUCCUAAAAAAAUCCUUAAAAAAAAUCCUAAAUCUUAAUCAAAUCCUAA
rnacentral:lncRNA from 1 species